GUAGAAUGAGAUGAGCACACGUUGAGCGGGAAUGCACCGGAGGUGGUCACCCCUCUCUGGAAAUCAACCUCAGUCGUGGACUUCCAGCCUCCAGAAUGGGGAGAAAUGAAUUUCUUGUUGAAGCCACUUACUCUGAGGUAUUCUGGUAUGACAGUCCCAGCACAUCAAUGCAUCUCUUUGGAUCCUUCAUCUUGUAAAGCUUCUUUUUUUUAUUAGCAAAUGCUGGCAUGCAGAAUAUUAAAUUCAUCCGGGGGACCGGCAUGCACACAUUGCAUCCGAGUCAUUUUUACUUUCUCUUGCCGUCCCCUCCCUCCUGUCUCUCCCCAUCCUCAGAUUCCCAUCCCAUCCCAGUAAAUCUGCCCCCUUCUUCCCUGUGAUCUAUAUUUUAUUGGGUUUUUCUCUUCAAGUUAUUUUCCUUGUUAAACAAUGUGCACUUCAGGAAGGCGUGGCUGCUCCCUGUGCAGGGGCCAGGCUGGUCUCCGAAUUGCUGCUGUUUCUGUAUCCAUGCUGCUGAAGCAGCGCUCUCCUUGGAGAUCGCAGGACCUCAACUCUCCCAGACGUUUCUAACAAGCUGGCUUUCCUGGUCUCCAGGUCUUGCUGCUGCCCUGGCCACCCCUCUCCCUGCAGGACACUUGAGAGUGGCCACGGCGUUUGCAUGGAGUGCGGCCCGAGACAGCCAGCAUUUCUGCACAGCCCUCUUGGGCUUCUUACAGGUUCAAGGACAUCCAUUUAUUUAUAUUGCAUUCUCUGUCACUCUGAGGAAGUUAUCAGGCAAUAGAAGAAGCUUAAAAACCAGUGGCAUCUGUGGGGACGAACGAAGAAUGUGAAGAAGAGGAAUAUUGCUCUCAUCCUUCCUUUUCCUGUUUGCUGGUGGAACUUUUCUCCCUGAAUAGAACGGGCCCAAGUGUGUAGGGCUCUUGAGGGUUCCCACGCGCCCAGUUUUUCAGAACUGUGCUGGUCCGCGUGCUACCGCUGGCCACGUCACCAUGGAGCACUUUGAAUGUGGUCACUCUACCUGAAGCCCCGCACUGUUCGUGUUCCUGAAUUUUAAUUUGCUAUGUGUGUACCGGAGAUUUCCAUCGUCACAGACAGUUCUGCUCAGACAGUGGCUGUUCCUGGAGUGACUGGUCAGUAAUUUUGUUCCAGAACUGUUUCUCGUACUGUACUGAAGACUCAGUUUGUCCUCAACAGAUCAAUUUGUAAAACAAAGAAUGCCGUGCGUGGACCACACAGCUGCCCUCUUAUUCAGCUCUUACCAGCACUGGCCCAGAACGUUCCCUCCUGCGUUCUGAGUCAUUCUGCCUAUGUUUACCCUUAGAAUUUGUAUUUAUUUCCUUCUAAUAUAAUUAAAUGAAAGUACCCUAAUUUCAGGAAAUAUUUCUCUAA